AUUUAAAGAAGAGCCAUUGGAGGAGGCAGAAGAGUUGGGGUUCAGAACAAUGGGCUUUGGAUGGACAGAAGGACAGGAACGAUUAACAACAGAACCACAUAGAGAUGGAUUACCAGAGACAGCUGAAGGGGAAAUGGUGUUGAAGAAACCCCCAACUGGNCAGCUCACCUUGCAGGUUGUUAUGGGAAACAUUGAAGGAUACAAGGUAGGAAAGAUUUGUCAGCUCCUU
rnacentral:misc_RNA from 1 species